CAUACACGCCGCCCCAUUCUGGAAUAAAAUUGGGACUGAUCAAAGGACUGGUUCGAACUGGACUAUCGGUUGAAAUUCUAUGGGGAUGUGCUGAUGCUAUGUAAUCUUGAAGUCAUAUGUAAAUAUUGGAACAGUUGCUGAUAUUUAUUGUUUUGUUAACUGUGGGGUGUAUUUUUGCAUUUUUAGGAGAGCAGAGGGUUUUGUUAAAUUGCAGCCCCUGUGGGUAUGACAAAAUUGGCUGUGUUAGUACUAUUAUAUUUUAAUUUCCAAACUGUGGGUAACAGGAUGUCUAGUGGUUUCACUGCCUCUGCAUCCCAGACGGUAAGGUAAUACAACCUUAUGGUAAGUCUUGCUAGUCUGUAAAACAAUCAUAUCUGUAACUAUCUGGUUUGUGGUUCCAGAUAGGAUUCCAAGGAUUUUGCCAUGCACUUGGGCACUUGCUGACCCUCCAAAAAUGUUGCACCUCCUCUGACAAGGUGCAAACCAUUGUAGAAGCAAGUAAUUAAGAGCCUUAUAAAAUCACACCUUCAGAGACCUGUCAUUGGCCUCAGGAAGACUGUUGUGGUAAACUUCCUGAUUGUCUCUUUUGAGGACAGGCAGGAAAACCUUCAGUGAGGAAGGGCAAGACGGAGAAGACCCUGCAUAUUCAAACCCAGGGUCACUUUGUUUGGGAUAGACUGUCCUCUCCGCUUGCCUCUCCAGAGGAAGUCAGCUGUGAUGUGAAUGGGCUUUCCUCCUGUUCCCGCUGCAUGCCCAGGCCUGGCCUUAGGGGCACGCAAAGCAUGCAAUUGAGUUGGGAUCACGUUGGAGGGGCCACAAAUAAAAAAAAAAAAAAAAAACACUGGACAGGUCACCAGACGCCAUCCAACGGUGCAGGUUUCUGUGGGCUUGUUUGUUUUAAAAAUAAUAAAAAAAGCAUAAUUGUCUUGCACUUCUCACUUAAUUUAAACACAAUCUCCCCCCAACUACACGACCAUUCCUAGUCGCAAGUGUUUUUGCUUUCAGUGAAAUUCACGUGAGCGUCUGAGUUCGACUUAAAGAAGACGGACAGUAGAGAUACAGAGAGGAGAGCUAUGCACAAUUGGUGGUGGAAAGUUUAACUUAAAGUGACUGCCUCAUUCAAGCCCUGUGGAGCUCUAACAAGCUUCAGAAGGUGCUGUCCUUCAAUCCCUGUGCCUUCCAAUUAAAUGAUGACUUCUUUGCCUUUUGAAGUAUGGUGGAGGACUUUCAGGACAGAACCAUUUCCUUGUGAAUUGCCACCGGACCGUACACCAGAGGGUUUCUGCUUAUGGUGGUACCUGAAGACACUCAUGUACCAAGGGAGCCCUUGAGCAAUUUCGGACCUCAAGGAUGUAUAUUUCUAAAUCUAAAUUGUGUUUUUUUUUUUUUUUUUUUAAAUGCUCCGUCGUUCUGGUUUCUUUAAAUGUAUCUUAUUUGAUUUGAAUUACCUUAAUUUUACUGGACUAUUAUUAUCUAAACAAUCAAAACGUUUUUUGUUUUUUUUUAAUGAGGCUGAGUAGCCCAGUGGAGCUCUCAUAUGGUUUCUUUCGAAAAUGUUCAUUUUCAACAAUGUUCAUGUUGUCAAAAAGCAGACUCCAUCUGUAUUCUUGUUUUCUAAAAAGUGGUAGUUCAUCCCUUCCUAUGAUUUAUGAGAAUAUUAAACUUUUAAUAAGAACUUCUUUCUUUCUUUCACUUAAACAGUGAUUAGACAAACCUGGAUUGACCUUUGAUUUUGCAGUUGCAGUUAUAAUAUGAAUAAAACAAUCCAUUUUUAUUCUGUUAGUUUUUCCUCUAAAACUGUAUUUUCUAAAUAACAAGGUGAGAACACUACGAAUGUUAUUUCAAACUCACUUGAAGUUUAACAUUUGAGGUCACUAUCCUCCUAAACUGGUUACCACGACCCCCUUGCAAAUGAGGCCACAGUCUCAAUGGGUUUACUUCCUGCAUGAAGAAUAAAUACAUAAAUAAAUAAUGAAUCA